GUUACUUCAAAACACUUAAUUUGGCUGGUCACAUCCUCUGUAGCCAGCAGCUGUCAAGAGCUAACUUCCAGAAAAGUAAUAAAAAGGCUGGACAAUUACACUAUGCCACACUUGGGUAGAAUAUCCUUCCCUCACCCCUGAAGGUGAACAGUUAGCAUCUGACAUGAAGUAAGAUCCUGGCAUCCUUUGUUUGCAUAUUCACAAAUACUGGUAAUGAUCACUGGGGUUUAGCCCAGUUUCUCCGGGAAGUGAGAAUUCAUGCUGUUCUCCCUGAAUUUAAAGAAAUCCCUGCGGCUGUUUGUUUAGCAGAUCAUUCAAAGCACUUCGCUGGAGAAAUGUAUUAAAUAUACAGGCUGAGAAUUGGGAAUUUUCACACACAAAUCAAUUCUGACAAGAGCAGACCAGAAACAAAUGCUCAGGUUAGUUUAAUAUUCCACCCUGACAGCCCAUGUGGAGAGCUGACAACCACUCGCCUGGCUCGGACUAUUGGAAAGCAUCAAAGAAUUUUCAAAAUUUGGCAGCACUUAGUGCAACUGCAAUUGUUGACAAGACAGGACUUGAGCCCUGGUGGUUCCUGGAGGCGAUUCUGCACAGAAAGUCAUGGUAGAAUGAAGCACUUAUAAAUCUGAUUUAAAACUUGCAACUCUUAAUGGUGUAAUAUCCAAGACUUCAGGCUGUCAUAGUUGAAGAUCAUUAGGAAAGCUGUCACAAACUCUUUUCUUGACCUGUUGAGAGAGUUCACGGUCUAGAAAAACCAUUUGACUCACAUGAGUUUCUACUUUUCAAAGUUUUUUGCAUUUUUGAGAGAUUUUUUUUUGCCACUGAAGGAGGCAGUAGAAGGAAAGCAAGAGAGUUGUUGAUGCAUAUUGUGUGUAGCACUUUGUCAAAUCAUGCAGGGACAGCAUUGGAGUUCCUCCAACUCUGUGUAACUGAGGACCUCCAGAAGAGAAACCUUGACUCGGUUUCUGGCAUCUGCAGCAGGAGACAGGCAGGAGACGGAGCCAGGAGCGAUAAAGCGCAAGGAUUUAAGGUGGCAGCCUGAACUUUGGAAGCAGAUACUUGCAUUGGCAGGAGCUGAAACAGCCCCAGGAUCACAAAGAACACCUACUGAACCAACACAAGGAUCAUGCUGCACAGUCUCUCCUUUCACCGUCCAUGUGGUGUUUGGGACCGAGACAUGAAUUUGCAAGGAAGCUGCAGAAGUAGUUUAAACCAAAAUAAAUGUUAUGAGGUUUUACGCUUUGACAUGAACUUUCUGUGCCUAUCUGAAAAGUCCAAUUUCCUAUCUUUCACUGUUUUGCACUCUCAGAAGAGUUCAUUCUAGCUUUAUUCUGUAUUUAUCUCUAUGUUUCUUCAUUCUGUUUUUUUAUUGUUUCCUGUGCUGUUACAAUCCUCCUGCUUCUCCCUGAUGAUCAGCUGCUUUCACAUGGGUCCCCUUUUUUCAACCCCAUCCGUCCUUCUUGUCUGCCUUGAGCUCUUCCAGGUUCCCGCAGGCGAUUGUCUACGAUGGACCCUGCGCUCAGAACCACCCCCCGAUCCCUUCCAGUACCCCUCCACACACGGUGCACGUCCUCCCACCGCUCCUGCAUCCUGCCGUACGUGAUGCUUGACUGAGGCUUGCAAUGGGAGAGAGUGUAGGCAGCGGUGGAAACCAAGGCAGCCUGGAGAACAGAAAUCCCAUGCAAGCUGCUUGUUUUUUCUCAGUGAAAGGAGAAGUUUUGUAUCUUCAUCUUUAUGUUGAAUGGGCUUAAGCACUGACCUGGAAGUUGAGUGAAAAAUGUGUGAAACAGCUGCCAUAGCUUAGUGCAACUUGUUGAAGCUUGGACAAGCCCUUCACUGCCCUACCCCAAGGCACUAGGAACAGAAAAAUGAACCUGGAGGCCCUUGGUUCUGCAGAAGGCUCCCAGCCAGCUAGGUCUGUCCUACCCUGCCUCCUCCUUUGCCUCGCUGGUCUGGAAACAUCUGUCUCCCGAGCACAGCUGCUCCCAGGAAUUGCUGCUCCAGUGGGCACCACAGAGCCUUCUGCAGGGCAGCCUGAAGAAAGAAACCGCUUGUGUCCCCGCAGAAGAAACACAACGCAGAGCAACUGUCAUGGCUGACAGGCAGAGGAGACCAGAAACCAGAGCAUUUGCAUUUCAUCGGGUAGAUUGGAUACGGGAAGUACUAACAGGCAUGCCUUUUUAUAAAGGUUGCUCUAAAAGUGGCAAUGCUGUCAGCAGUUACACUUUGCUGCUUGCCUGGAGUAUUAAGCGUUCCUGAAUGGCUGCAGUCUCUGCUUUUCAACAGCAACUAAGCUCACAGGCAACACUCACAAGGGACUCAGCUACUGGAAAGAAAAAGUCAAGACUCACGUUACAAAGACGGACUUCUACUGGCAUCUGCACCACGCACUGCUGCCAACAGAGAAAAUGGAAGCUGUUGCUUCAACCUUCCCAUUAGGAAGUCAUGAUCACCCUGGGAUUUCCUUAAGCCCCCAUCCCUUUAUUCCUCCCUGGCACACAGGAGGAGGUUUGAAGACACGAAGAUCUGGCUCUCAUAAGAUUUCUGAUUUUUCUAACAAGAAAAAGGAACUUACUAAGGAGGGUACCAAAUUUGCAGAUUUUCUGUCUGAAUAUAUUUAUUUACAUAGACUCACUUCGUGGCCUAAGCCAGAUUUUUAAUUCUGUACUAUCUGUCUUGAUUAGGUUAAUACAGAUAUAAAUGUAAAUUUCAUUUUCUCUUUUUGAAGGACACCUUGUAAUGAGAUUAUCCGUAAACUGAUCUUUGCUAUCUGUCUCCCCCUGUUAGCUUCUUAUUGCCAGGUGUGAAAUAAAUACAUGCAUUAUCUUUUGAA